GUGCCAGCCGCCGCGGUAAUACGUAGGGGGCAAGCGUUGUCCGGAUUUACUGGGCGUAAAGAGCGUGUAGGCGGCCGCGCAGGUCCGUUGUGAAAACUGGAGGCUUAACCUCCAGACGUCGACGGAAACCGUGUGGCUAGAGUCCGGAAGAGGAGACUGGAAUUUACGGUGUAGCGGUGAAAUGCGUAGAUAUCGAGAGGAACACCAGUGGCGAAGGCGACCACCUGGACUGAUACUGACACUGAGGUGCGAAAGCGUGGGGAGCAAACAGGAUUAGAUACCCCGGUAGUCC
rnacentral:rRNA from 1 species